UCUUCUCUAACGUUUCCAAGACAUCAAUGAGAUAGAAUGCAAAUUUCCUACAAAACUCCUCACCCAUUAUUACUUUUCAAAUUUAUAUUCCAAGUAUGGUUUCCAAGAGUACCAGUUACUUCAGUGUUAAUAUUAUUUUUGCUAGUCAAGCCAAUUUCUCUAAUGGUUAUCAAAUUUAAAGUGAGAUUUUCAAUAGCUGUCUUUGAUAUCUCGAAGGAAGCCAAAACAGUCUGUAUUUGAAAAUCCUUGCGAUUAAGAUUUAAUGGAGCUAGAGAAGGUGAUGCGGAAAUAGAGCUCAUCUUUUACCUUAAACAUGGAAGUGAAAGCAGAUGUUAGUAAUAACUACUCAACCAUUGCUUACUGCAUAGAUUGCAAUGAAGAAGCACGGUACAAUCUUUCCCAAGAAUAUCAUACGGAUUUUUCCCUACUCCAGGUAUAGAAAAACAGUUUGACGAACUUUCAUAGUAGACGAGAUUGGCUUCAGCGAAGGAUCGGUAAAACUCUACCUCAUUCGGAGUGCAGCCGAGUCUAUGAGUCAUUGUGUCAGAAGUUUUCUACAGAAUUAUGGGUAGGCCAGUACCCUGUCCCAUUUGAUGCCAAAUGAUCUUAGAGGCUUUGUAGACAGAGGUUCAUUUUGUACAGUAUGUCAGAUGCCUUGACGGCCCAAAUGUAUUAAUGUUUUAAGGAAAAGGGUUAAAUGAUAUAGUGUUUUCUCA